CUCUCAUUCAGAUGAGAAUAAGGUUCAAUUUCCCCCACUGCCCAUCCUUCAUCUUGACCUUGUAUUAGUGGGGGAAUUGAAGAAGGAACCAAAGUUCCAGCUACUUGGGGAAUAAAUAUAAAGUAACACUUCCUUCUUUCCUCCCCUUCCCCCAAGUUGGACUGUUAACAAAUGGAGUCAGUUUUGACUGGACUAAAAGGGUUGUGAAACCUGGAACUUGCAACAGCACUCUAAUGAGUUGCUGACCAGAGAUGAAUGUAAUGAUGAGAUUACCUGGGAGCAUAAAUUGGUACCUGAUGUUCUGGAGGUGAAGCCAAGCUGGUGGAGUAAUCCAGAGUAUCUCUGCGGCCCCAUGAGAAUCCUCUCUGACCAAGAUUAAAAUAUCACCAUGAAACAAAUAAAGGAGUAAAAGAA
rnacentral:lncRNA from 1 species